UAUAAAGUCUAAUCUGCCCAAUGAGAAGUUAAAUGGCCGCGGUAUUUUGACCGUGCAAAGGUAGCAUAAUAAUUAGUUUUUUAAUUGAAAGCUGGAAUGAAUGAUUGGACGAGAAAAUUACUGUCUCAAUUUAAUUUUAUUUGAAUUUUAUUUUUAAGUAAGAAAGCUUAAAUAUUUUUAAAAGACGAGAAGACCCUAUAGAGUUUUAUAAAUUAUUUUAUAUUGAUUUAUUAGUAAAAUUAUAUGAUUAUUUUUUAAUUUAUUUUAUUGGGGCGAUAGAAAAAUUAAUUAAACUUUUUUUUACUUUUAUACAUUAAUUUAUGUUUUAUUUGAUCCAAUUAUUUUGAUUAUAAGAUUAAAUUACCUUAGGGAUAACAGCGUAAUUUUCUUUUAGAGUUCUAAUCGAAAGGAAAGUUUGCGACCUCGAUGUUGGAUUAAAAUUUAUAUUUGGUGUAGGGGCUAAAUAAUUAGGUCUGUUCGACCUUUAAAAUUUUACAUGAUCUGAGUUUAAACCGGCGUGAGCCAGGUUGGUUUCUAUCUUUAAAUAAAUUAAAUAUUUUAGUACGAAAGGACCAAAUAUUUAUAAUAUUUAUUAGAAUUUGAUUAAUAAUAA
rnacentral:rRNA from 1 species